GGGCCUUUAGGCCCAUUUUCCCAUCUUCGUAUACACUAGGUGUAUACUAGUGUAUACAAUCCUGUGUUAGCUCCAAACACCUGCACGCCAUGUCAAGGACCUAUUCUUCGAUUUUUCAUGGAUGGCUGACUCGAAAAGGAAAGGGUUUGAGCCUUUAUGGCUCAUCUCGAGGAUGCAAAGGAAGGAAGUCCACCAUGGACUCGAAAGGGGUUCAUACAACAAAAGAAAAACAUAAUUAGCAUUUGAAAUAAAGAAAUACUUAAGACAUGACUUUAAAUGGGAUAAAAAGCGACGUAGUUAUUUCAAAUCAAAAGAACUACUAUCGAUAUCUAUUCAUUAGGGUUCAAGGAGACAAAUCUAAAAGAAAAGAAGCAUGCAUUUGGCAGCAAGAAAGCACAUUUAACUUAAAUUGAAUAGGAUAGGGGUCAAAGAGGCAUAUUACACUUAAAAGGCCUUUUCAUAUAUACAGAUUUAAAGACACGAAAGGAGAGCCAUUGUUGCAUUCACAAACAACCCACUACUAUCAAAACAAUAAUCUCCUAUGAUUUUAAAAGACAACAAUUUGGACCCAUUAAAUUACAGUAACAAUAGGAAAUCAACCUCUACCUCAAAAUGCAAAAGUAUACAAAACUUCCCCACAAUCACAUAUAGCAAGCCAUCCUCUUUUGAUAUUUUAAGCAAACCACAAACUAAACACGAUGAUGCGAUCAAAUAUUUUUAACGCGAAUGCAACUUAAAGAUAGAAGGCGACAAGAAGUAAGAUAAACAAAUCACGGAAACAGAUGGCCAAACUUGUGAUUAGCAUUAUAAGCAAGCAGUAUUUUCCUAAUUUUCAAUCAAAACUAGGACAACCACAAUUCUAUAACUUAACAAGCAAAAGAAGAGAAAAUAAAACAACCAACAUAGCUUUCAGAUUUCGAAACGACUCAUGAAAUGAACCUAGUUAAUGCUAAUAUGGAUAACCUAACAACAAACUCCAAACAAUUUAUUUUGAUUGUAAUAAACAGAAAAAUGACACACUUGAAAUUAAUCCAACAAAUUUAUGCUUUUAGUAAAGUUAAGCAUCAUAUAUUUGAAAAGAAAAAGGAAUAAAAUUGAUCAGCAAGAGGGGACUUAAAGAAGGCAGCCUUGAAGUGGACAGGGGAUUGAGACAUCAAGCUAUAUCGAUUUACAUUCCUAAACUUAGUAAUAAACAUGUUGAACAGUGACUUACUCAUGCAAAUUCACAACAAACAUAGGUAAACGAAGACUAGCAUAAAAGUUCAAAACCAAACGAGAUACAUUAUGGAAGCUAAAGAAAAAUGAGCACACUAUCGAAUCACAAACUUGAAAUCGACUUUAAGAUUCACACACCCGUACAAAUCAUAUUCAAAACAAGUAAGCCAAGACCAAAAUUUCAGCCAAGACAAAGAAUUGUAAUCUUCAUACAACUAUGGCCAUCAAACAAUCAGCUAAGCAAAGAAAGACUUAAAGAAAAGUGAAAUUAUAUACCGUUUCCGAGGCAGCGACUAGGAUGGACGAGGUGAAGAGCUUUCCACAAGAAGAAGAAGGGGUCUUUAUAGGGGGAAAUUUAGGGUUCGGUUGAGGGGAAAAACGGAAUGGAUUCAAAAUUUGAAAUUCAAAAAUCUUCAGGAUAAGGCAGUCAGCUCCCACUAGUACUAAUUCCAACGGAUUGAGAAUGAGGGUCGUUCGAUCUUGGCAAGGACGAGUGAAUCGCGGAGAUCGGGACACGUCGAGAGGAGAGAGGCGAGGGAAAGGAAGAACAUGCGUGAGGUUGAGGCUACUAGGCUAUUUUUCUAGACUGGAUUUGCAGCAUACUGCUGCUGCGUUUUUGGGUUCUGAUUUGCUGGACUGGAGCAUUUUUGCUGC
rnacentral:lncRNA from 1 species